GACGAACGCUGGCGGCGCGCUUUACACAAGCAAGUCGAACGGAAAAGCCCGCUUUCCUUUGUGGGUUGCGGGUGCUGGAGUGGGGAGGGGGUGAGUAACACGUGCCUGCUCUGCCCCCAGGUUUGGUAUAAGACUGGGAAGCUGGGUCUAAUUCAGGGUCGGCCCGCGGGGGGGGGGUGGGGGGGGGAGCCGGGUUUUCGGCGGUUGGGGAUGGACUCUCGGUCUAUCAGGUGGUUGGUGGGGUAGUGGCUUACCAAGGCUUUGACGGGUAGCCGGCCUGAGAGGGUGACCGGCCACAUUGGGACUGAGAUACGGCCCAGACUCCUACGGGAGGCAGCAGUGGGGAAUAUUGCACAAUGGGCGGAAGCCUGAUGCAGCAACGCCGCGUGCGGGAUGACGGCCUUCGGGUUGUAAACCGCUUUCGCCUGUGACGAAGCGUGAGUGACGGUAAUGGGUAAAGAAGCACCGGCUAACUACGUG
rnacentral:rRNA from 1 species